rnacentral:misc_RNA from 1 species
CUACAGGUGAGUAGGUUCUUGUUGGAGAAGCAGGGUACGUGCAAAAUGCACACCGGUUGGUCGAGCUAAUUAACAAGCUCUGACGACCAUGGUGAUCGAAUGCACGUGCUCCCCUUCUCCACCAUGGCCUUCUCACCUUCUUCAUCUUCA